rnacentral:sRNA from 1 species
GGAUGUGAGGGCGAUCUGGCUGCGACAUCUGUCACCCCAUUGAUCGCCAGGGUUGAUUCGGCUGAUCUGGCUGGCUAGGCGGGUGUCCCCCUCCUCCCUCACUGCUCCAUAUGCGUCCCUCCCGAAGCUGUGCGCUCGGUUGAAGAGGACGACCUUCCCGGAUAGAAAGAAGACCGUCCUUCGGUCAAGGGUAUAUGAGUAGCACCUCCAAGAAAGGUGGAGAACCACUGCCCUAGGGGAAAAGGAGAGAGAAGCCGGGCUGCUUUUAGCCUGAUUGU